AAACCAACCGGGAUUACCCUAGUAACGGCGAGUGAAGAGGUAAAAGCUCAAAUUUGAAAUCUGCCUUUCGGCCGAGUUGUAAUUUGAAGAUGGCGUUCGCUGCGCAGUCUCUGCUCAAGUUCUCUGGAACGAGACAUCAUGGAGGGUGAGAAUCCCGUGAUGCAGAGGUAGCUGUGUGUUGUCGAGCGCCUUCGACGAGUCGAGUUGUUUGGGAAUGCAGCUCCAAGUGGGUGGUAAACUCCAUCUAAAGCUAAAUAUUGGCGAGAGACCGAUAGCGAACAAGUACUGUGAAGGAAAGAUGAAAAGCACUUUGAAAAGAGAGUGAAAAAGUACGUGAAAUUGUUGAAAUGGAAGGGCUUGAGCUCAGACAUGGUUGUUGUGCUCCUCUGCUUUCAAGCGGAGUACUCGCAACAGCUAGGCCAGCAUCAGUUUCGUGGGUAGGAUAAAUAUCAAGGAAUGUGGCUGCUUGCAGUGUUAUAGCCUUGUAAAUACUGCCACACGGGACUGAGGACUGCUUUACAGGAUGCUGGCGUAAUGGGCUUAAGCCAC
rnacentral:rRNA from 1 species